UACGUAGGCAGCGAGCGUUGUUCGGAGUUACUGGGCGUAAAGCGUGCGUAGGCGGUGUCUUAAGUUUGUUGUGAAAUCUCCCGGCUUAACCGGGAGGGUGCGGCGAAUACUGAGAUGCUGGAGUGCGGGAGAGGUAAGCGGAAUUCCUGGUGUAGCGGUGAAAUGCGUAGAUAUCGGGAAGAACACCAGUGGCGAAAGCGCUCUACUGGGCCAUAACUGACACUGAGGGACGAAAGCUAGGGGAGCGAAAGGG
rnacentral:rRNA from 1 species